GAUCAUGGCCAUGAAAUUCAAAUUAAUCUAGAGCUCAUAGGUUUUAUCCACAUAUUCCCUUCUUACCCAAUCAAAAAUAGAAAUAAUAAUAAUAAUAUUAAUGAAUAAAGAAAAUCACAAAACAAAAAAAAAAUCUCUCCCUCUCCCUCAAACGUGUGGCAACAAAGCAAUCCCUAAUUUCUCUGUGCUCUCACUGAUCAUCUUUGUGCCAAUGAAUCAUAAAAAAUGAAAAAUUGGAAAAAGUAGAGAAAAAAGCUCUUGAUCUAAUAUACACAAAUGGAUUGAAUACACUCAUAAAGGACAAACACUAAACCAAUGAAAAAAGGCAUUUUUUU
rnacentral:lncRNA from 1 species